GACGAACGCUGGCGGCGUGCUUAACACAUGCAAGUCGAACGAUGAAGAAGAGCUUGCUCUUCGGAUUAGUGGCGAACGGGUGAGUAACACGUGACUAACCUGCCCCUUUCUCUGGGAUAACGCUCCGAAAGGAGUGCUAAUACCGGAUACUCACAUCGAGGCACAUGCCUUGAUGUGGAAAGUUUUUCGGAAAGGGAUGGAGUCGCGGCCUGUCAGCUUGUUGGUGAGGUAACGGCUCACCAAGGCGACGACGGGUAGCCGGCCUGAGAGGGCGACCGGCCACACGGGGACGGAGACACGGCCCAGACUCCUACGGGAGGCAGCAGUGGGGAAUAUUGCACAAUGGGCGAAAGCCUGAUGCAGCGACGCCGCGUGAGGGAUGAAGGUCUUCGGAUUGUAAACCUCUUUCAGUAGGGACGAAGCGAAAGUGACGGUACCUAAAGAAGAAGCACCGGCUAACUACGUGCCAGCCGCCGCCGUAA
rnacentral:rRNA from 1 species